rnacentral:sRNA from 17 species
AAUAAGAGGCAUAUACCAAUUAGAAUUCGGAAUACUAUAGUAUCAGCCUUUUAGAAUCGUGAACACAUUUUAGAAACUGAUAAAUUAAUUUAGUUUCCUACCAAAAACCCUACCAAAAAUUAAUUUGGCAGGGUUUUUCUU